CCUACGGGUGGCAGCAGUGGGGAAUAUUGCACAAUGGGGGAAACCCUGAUGCAGCACCGCCGCGUGAGUGAAGAAGUAUCUCGGUAUGUAAAGCUCUAUCAGCAGGGAAGAAAAUGACGGUACCUGACUAAGAAGCCCCGGCUAACUACGUGCCAGCAGCCGCGGUAAUACGUAGGGGGCAAGCGUAUGCGGGAUUUAUGGGGUGAAAAGGGAGCUUGAACGGGGUGGCAAGUCUGAAGUGAAAGCCCGGGGCUCACACCCGGGACUGGUUUGGAAACUGUCAUGCUGGAGUGCUGGAGAGGUAAGCGGAAUUCCUAGUGUAGCGGUGAAAUGCGUAGAUAUUAGGAGGAACACCAGUGGCGAAGGCGGCUUACUGGACAGUAACUGACGUUGAGGCUCGAAAGCGUGGGGAGCAAACAGGAUUAGAUACCCGAGUAGUC
rnacentral:rRNA from 1 species